rnacentral:lncRNA from 1 species
CAGUGUAGCAGAGCAUCACAGCAGAGCUGCAGCGCUUCGGGGCCUACACGCAGCGAUUAAUUGCAACUUCUCCAACUUUCCCGGUGUUCGUGCGCGAUCCGAGCAGACGGGGCUGUGGGCAGACAGCGCAGGGAAGGGCUCGGGCUGCAGCUGCCCCUUUGGGGCUCUCCGUGAGCCGGCGGUGCUGCUUUGGAAGCGCCCAACGCACGCCCUGCAGGUUCCGGAGCACUGCCUGGUGCUCAGCUGUCACUGGAGGUGCCCCCGUUCCUCCCAUUGCAGUACAGCGAAAGCCUCAAUCAAGAGCUGAAGUUAUUUGGUUUAAUUACAUGGCAUUUAAUUAGCGGAGAAAAACCAAUGCUUUUUUGGUGGUUUCUUGUCGUAAGGAGCAGCUAGAUGCUUCCCUAGCGGGGCAGUGCAGCAGUGUGAGUCAGAUGUGUGCAGUGCAGCGCUGGGGCUUCCCAGAGCAGUGGUUUAGGAAGAUCCCUGCUUCAGACAGGGGGCAGCCCUCGUGGCUUUGAUCACUGGUUGGUUCUGGCUUCUGUGCUGCGCUGUACAAGAAGGCAUUCUCUUGUGCUACGGUUCUGGAGCAGCCUCCAGGGAGGAGCAGGCUGCAGCCGGCGUGGCGGUGCGGCACACAGGCGUGCUUCCAGCUCUCAGCACUAAGUCACUGUCUAACAAGCGUGCCUCGCAUCAUGGGACAAAUGCUGUUCCAGAAAUAUCAGAGGUUAAUCCGAUGCACCAUCCCUUACAUAGCAUCGCAGUGUAACGCUUUGCUUGGGGUGGGGGGGGGUUCUGGCUCUCUCUUUUCCAUGCUUAUUGGAGUAUUGCUGCCACUUUUCCUCCUGGAAGCGGGGAGCGGCGUAAGGAAGGGCUGAGCAGCACCCAUAGUGCUGGGGCCAGCUCUGAACCGAUGGCCACUCGUUUCCAUUAGGGGUGAACUCGGCUUGGGGCUUUAGUAAAUGCUGACCGUGCUAUAGCCAGUAAUUGCAGAUGUAAAAAUAAGUGACCACGUUUUGUUUAUUCGCGUGCAGUCAAUAACCCUGUGAGAAUAGUAAAUAGAGCUCCACCCCAGCGAAGCAGCGUGAAGAGUUCAAACGCUGGAAGAUGACCCUGUAGACACACACAAACGCAGUGCUGUUCCGUAUACAAUAGAACAGAAAGGCCAAAAAUACCCUACCAAACCCAUACGCUGCGCAGCGUAGAGACCCGGCCUUGCAACACACUGAACUCCCAUUGAAGAACUCAAGACAUCAUGCAGGAUCCGUGCCCAGAAAUGUGAGCCCCCAGCAUGGUGCUCUGGAGCUGUGCAGACAUGUUUCGUCUUACGGAGCUGAGUAUCUGCUUUUCAGCAGCUGAGCCCUGGGGACACGGUGCUAGGCAGAGCAGUGAGGAAUGAGGCUUCCUUUCAGAGAGGUUAGCUCAUCUCUUAGCGUCCGUGGAAAAGAGCUUACCUCACAUUCUCACCUGGACUGUUGCCCUUAAUCUAUGGCACUCGCUAAAGAGGAAAAUAGAAUCGAGCAUGUUCAAGCGAAUGUUUUCCAUGUUUUGAUCUUGUUUCUUGAGCUCAGCUCGGAGCAGUGUGGGAAGUGCCUUUUGGGCAGCGUGUGCAAUUACUCCCAGGCCUUCCAGAAAGCAGAGGUUAGCUGUGCAAUGGACUCCGAAUGUGCAGAGAGUCUGCAAUCAGAAGUCAAAAAUAAAAUGACUAUAAUUAGUAAUGACCAAAGCAACUGGAAAUGGUGUCAGUCAGAGCCGAGCCAGCUUUCUUUUUAUCUGUCACCUAAUGAAUGAGGGCUGAGGUUAUUCUCCAAGGAUGAGAGGGCUGAAUUUUUUUCCCAUUCAAAUCUGGUGCUGUGGGACAAAUGCAAACUCAGGGCUCAUUUACUACCUUGUUUUUCAGCUAUGGAACCUGCAGGCAGGUUGUGAGCAAUUACGCUUUUCCCCAAAGCAUCUAAAAUAACACGGCUCUGCUCGCUGUCCUGGAGAGCGCCGCUGACGCCAUCCUGUCACCUUGGAGAUGGAUAAACAGCUCCAGCAACACUGGGUUAUAAUCUUUCAGGUCUGAGCUUCUAAGCUGACAGCCGUACAAUUGAGACAUGAGUCUAGCAAAGAUUUUUGAUCGUGGAAAGAGUCUAAAUGUAAGAUGAGAGGAGAAGAGAGGAGAGGAGGGGGAGAAAGAGCUUAAGCCAGGCUCAGUGACCAGGCUUUUUGCUUGGCUGCAACAGCAGUGAAUGAAA